ACUUGAUCACUGAAAUAUAGAGAAAAAAAAUUCAGCUGAUCCUCUAAAGCCUUAUUAAAACUGCUAUGCUAUUGUAUGUGAAUGACUUGCUGUUCGCAUGCCUCAGACUGUGAAUCCAAGUAACUUUUCAAGUAUUUUAUUGGCAAUAUUUUAGAAAGUGCAUUCUAUAUAAUAGCUGUAUACAAGUGUUAAGAAAUUGUCUUGUUAUUUUUUUCGUGCUAUUCAUUUUUUGUGAUCUGAAGUAGUGAUUAAACUGAACACUAUCCACAUGUCCUCAUAGACAAGGAUGAAUGAAAGUAUGUACAGUACUGUAUUUUAGGUAAAAUUUCAUGCUUGUCAUUCAUUUUAUAGAAUGUAUUGUAUUUUGUAUCAUUAUUCCAAGUUGUGGAUUAUUUUUCUUUGAUCAUACUCUCAGGCAUGCAUUAUAUUUCUUUUCACUGUACUCAGGAAUUCGAUUAGCGGGUCGCAAUCCACAUCAAGUCUUCUGGCCCCGACCAGCUCUUCUCCACCGCCUUCUGCUACUUCGAAUGGGACAGCCAGUUCUCCUCCAAGACGUGUGAGAACGCUGUAUGCAUGUGUAGGAGAAAAUGAGUCAGAGCUUUCCUUUGAGCCCAAUCAAAUCUUAUCCAAUGUUCGGCCAUCCCGAGAACCAGGCUGGCUAGAAGGAACCCUCAAUGGCCGCACUGGUCUUGUUCCUGAAAACUACGUAGAAGCAGUAGAUGAUAAACCUCCUCCUCCUCGACUUCUAGCCCAGAGAAACACAGAUGUGUAAAUCUAAGAGAAACAUUCAUAAUUUAGUAGAUAUGAAGUGGAUGUAUUAACUUAGGCUUCAUAUCUUUGAAACUGUAGUGUGUCUUAUGUUAUACCAGGGUGACAUAAUGCAUAUUGUUGACCAAUAAUAUGUGUGUAUGUGCGUAUGUGUGUGGGAUAAGGUAAAAUGCUGUG